rnacentral:lncRNA from 1 species
AGUCAGGGGUUUGUUCACACAUGGCUGGCUACCUUCAUGAAAGAGCCCAGGAACGAUGACAGCAGAGUUCUAUACUUCUGUACGUGUGGUGACUGGCUUGUUUUAGGCAGUUGCCUGUGUUAGAGUUUGGUGUCCUUUUGGCUGUUUUGAUCAUUAUUUAUAGGGUUAGAAACUGUACUUUUUCUAUUUCUCCCUUUCCUCAAAUUCACAUAAUUAUUGCUAUAAAUCUUUAGGAUGCUUUUCUAGCCAAAUUGAACUUGCCUACCUUUUAGUAGUUUAGACCUGUGUCUGAUAAAGGAACUCCCAGCAUUCAGCAUAAUUGAUGCCCAUACACCACCAGGUUUCUCUUAAGCCUUAAUCUUCCAUCCUCAUCUUUCUCUGCACAAUUCACCUGCUAGCUGAGAAUAGCCCCAUGUGCAUGUGUGCGUGCACACGUACGUACGUGUGUGUGUGUGUGUGUGUGUGUGUGUACACAUGGAUUGCUGUUAGAUUUAAAACAAUACUCAUUGUGAAGUUUUGCAGUGAAGAACAGGAGACCAGAGAAUGGGUCCCCACUCUUCUCACAGUGAUUGACAGGCUGCAGUUUUGAAGGAGAGAGUCAGUGGAGCCCGGCCUGGUAAUUUGUGAGCUGGUGCUUAAAGAGACAGGGUUCUUUGGAUCCUAGCAUACGUGGAACAGGCUCUUCCUCCUCUGAGUCAGCGAGAAGGCUUAGAAAAGGCUUAACAGCCACUGCUCAACCAGCUGAGGAAUGUGGGAUUAAAAGCCCCCAUUUGAGGAAGGUUCUAGAAGAUGGCAUGGGCAGGCCCAUUCUUACACAGUGUAGCAGGGAGCUUGUGUUGCGUUGUGCUGUGCUGCUCUGUGUUGUGGGGUUUUUUUGUUUGUUUGUUUGGUUGUUUUUUUUUUUUUUUUUUUUUGGUGUGUGGCCCCUGCGAGUCCUUCAUGGAAAGAAAGCAACUGUAAAGACUGCGCAGUGCAGGCCUCCAGAGAGCCUCUGUGGAGGUAGCCAGAGUGUGCUUGGUAGCAUACCACUGUGCACUUAGGACCUACAUACAGCCCAGUGUUCCAGAGCUGUCUGUGAGACUGUCUCCUGGUUGUGCAGAACUUUUGUAGUUCAGAGAAAUAAAUGGCAGAUCCAGCUAGCUGUCUCUUGGUCCCUGGCCUUGGAGUUGAAAUAAUUGAAGUUGGUCUGCAAUUGGUGCCUAUAGUUGAGAGGCCCAUACACUGCCGUUUGCUGUUUUCAGCAAUGCGUGGCAAACGUCCCUCUCGAUGCCUGCUUGCUUUCUAACUGAUGCAGGGUAGAAAACAGGAGAUUGCUAAGGCUCGCAUGGAGGGAGCAGCCUCCACCCAUGUUUUGGGAGGAGAGCAAGCACCACACGCCAGAAGAGCAGGUCUGUCCCCUCUUACUUAGAGAGCGACAGGAAGUCGUGAAUGACCUGUCAGCCUGUGUCCUGGAGGUCUCCAGAGUUAAGGCUUCUUUUCUCCUUGUUUCAGGGUUCAUAGUGGCGCAAUGCACGCAGACUCCUGCGAAUUCCCCUAAGUUCUUAGCGGACUGCUUUGCCUUUUGAAUCAGAGAGUUGCAAAGUUCGAUAAAGAAUGGCCCUUGUGGAUAAGCACAAAGUCAAGCGGCAGCGAUUGGACAGGAUUUGUGAAGGUAAGAGCCAGCACGGUUGGCGGGGGUUUCUUGAAAGACACGUAGCCCCUCACGCAGAUCCUCUCAGAGCUGCUCAUUUGAGGUAGCUGGGCCUGGCUGUGUCACACUCUGACACUAGGACCCCCAGAGUCUCCCCACCCCUAACCUUUUCAGGUACUGGCUUUGUGGCACCCCACUUUCUUGGCUGGUCCUUGGUUUGUGUGGGGGCUGGGUGGAACAUGAGGGAGGGCUGUAGGCUGUGAGGUACCUUUCCCCCACCCCUGUAUACCUAGGGUUAUUUUGCAUAUGAAAGACACCAUAUAUCAGGACCAGCUUUUUUAGCUUCCUGAAGUUUCUCGACUUUAUCUGUUUUCUAUUAAGAUAUUUACAACAAUGAAUUCCAAGAUAUUUCCGAGGAACCCACUCUAGCCCUCUUGAUGUUUUCAAGUCUUCAGUAUUUUUGAAAAUGUCUGGAAGUGUUUUAUUCAUGAAAGG